rnacentral:rRNA from 1 species
GUAGGUGGCAAGCGUUGUCCGGAAUUAUUGGGCGUAAAGCGCGCGCAGGCGGCUCUUUAAGUCUGAUGUGAAAGCCCACGGCUCAACCGUGGAGGGUCAUUGGAAACUGGAGAACUUGAGUACAGAAGAGGAAAGCGGAAUUCCACGUGUAGCGGUGAAAUGCGUAGAGAUGUGGAGGAACACCAGUGGCGAAGGCGGCUUUCUGGUCUGUAACUGACGCUGAGGCGCGAAAGCGUGGGGGGAGCAAACAGGAUUAGAUACCCUGGUAGUCCACGCCGUAAACGAUGAGUGCUAAGUGUUAGGGGGUUUCCGCCCCUUAGUGCUGCAGCUAACGCAUUAAGCACUCCGCCUGGGAGUACGGCCGCAAGGCUG